AUGAGCUCGCGUCGGAUUAGCUAGUUGGUAGUGUAAGGGACUACCAAGGCGACGAUCCGUAGCCGUUCUGAGAGGACGCAUCGCCCACACUGUGCACUCCUUACACGUUCCCAGACUCCUACAGGAGGCACCGCUGUGCUUUUUUUAUUCCACUUUCGAAAGCCUGUACUCAUAUUAACUUCCGAUGAGGUGCCCUCCUAGGAAGGCUCUUGGGUUGUAAACCUCUUUUCUCAAGGAAGAAGAAAUGACGGUACUUGAGGAAUCAGCAUCGGCUAACUCCGUGCCAGCAGCCGCGGUAAUACGGAGGAUGCAAGCGUUAUCCGGAAUGAUUGGGCGUAAAGCGUCCGCAGGUGGCAGUUCAAGUCUGCCGUUAAAGACUCCAGCUUAACUGGAGGAAGGCGGUGGAAACUGAACAGCUAGAGUGCGGUAGGGGCAGAGGGAAUUCCCGGUGUAGCGGUGAAAUGCGUAGAGAUCGGGAAGAACACCAGUGGCGAAAGCGCUCUGCUGGACCGCA
rnacentral:rRNA from 1 species